rnacentral:rRNA from 1 species
UACGGAGGAUGCAAGCGUUAUCCGGAUUCAUUGGGUUUAAAGGGUGCGCAGGCGGAACGAUAAGUCAGUGGUGAAAGCCUACAGCUCAACUGUAGAACUGCCAUUGAUACUGUCGCUCUUGAGUAUAGUUGGAGUGGGCGGAAUGUAUCAUGUAGCGGUGAAAUGCUUAGAUAUGAUACAGAACACCAAUCGCGAAGGCAGCUCGCUAAGCUAUAACUGACGCUCAUGCACGAAAGCGUGGGGAUCAAACAGG